CAGAGAUAAAAGACAUAGGUGACAGUGAGAAAGACAGUGAGAAGGUGAGAGUAAGUGACAGACAAAGGGGGACAGGGAGAAGGUGAAAGUGAAUGAGUGACAGAGAGAGAAAGGAAGAGGGUGAGAGUGACAGAGGGAAGCAGAGAGCUAAGGUUUUUGUACAGCCUCUGCACUGGGUGCUCUCACUGUGGUACACGUUCGGUAAAGGAACCAAGCUCAGACUGAGCCGUGAGAACUCUCAGCCCAAGCUGACCCUGCUGCCCCCCUCCCCGGAGCAGAUCAAUGCCAAGGGCACUGCCACCCUGGUGUGCCUUGCCAAUCACUUCUAUCCCGAUGAGCUGGAGGUGCAGUGGAAGAAGGAUGGUGCAGUCAUUUCGGAUGGGGUUCAGACCAGCAACUACCUGCGAGCUUCGGACAGCACCUACAGUGUCAGCAGCCUGCUGACCCUCUCUGGAUCUGACUGGGAGUCCAAUGCUCGCUUCUCCUGUGCCCUCACCCACAUGACCCUCCCGUCUCCCCUCAGCAAGAGCAUCAGGAGAUCAGAAUGUGUGUAGAGUGUUUGAGACAGUCCACAGAGGAGACACAACUUUAAAUAGAACAGGGCUGAGCUGCCAGGACAAAGGUCAUUGCCAGCACAGAAUUUCAAUUCUCUUCCUUCUCAGGACUGGCUCAGAGACACGUCUGAGGUUCAAGGGUUAAGGCAGGUCUUUGGGAUCAUCAAAAAUAAGCUUUACUCUGUAUCAUACCCCAUGCUGACCCUGUUCUAGGAGUGUUUGAUUGGACAGUGAAGACUAGUGAUGCCAAGUAAAACCUCUCGAAGAUGCUGAAAACUGUCAGCUGUUCAAAACAAUGUGAACCUCAGAAGUCUCUGUUUCAGUAAACCAGGUCUCCUUCCUGCUCAGCCGCCAGUUCCAAUUUAAGGUUUUGUCACUGUUUAAAGGGACAGGAUUCCCAUGUUAUUGAGAAAAUCUCC